rnacentral:misc_RNA from 1 species
GAUGAGAACGUAGCGAAAUGCGAUAAGUAAUGUGAAUUGCAGAAUUCAGUGAAUCAUCGAAUCUUUGAACGCACCUUGCGCUCCUUGGUAUUCCGAGGAGCAUGCCUGUUUGAGUGUCAUUAAUAUAUCAACCUCUUCAGCUUAUGCUUGUUGAGUGUUGGAUGGUGGGGGUUUGCUGGUGUCUUAUGAAGUCAGCUCCUCUGAAAUGCAUUAGCGGAACAAUUUGUUGACCGUUCAUUGGUGUGAUAAAAAUAUCUACGCUAUUGACGUCAGUCAGUUCAGCUUCUAACAGUCCAUUGACUUGGACAAAUUUUUCAUUAAUGUGACCUCAAAUCAGGUAGGACUACCCGCUGAACUUAAGCAUAUCAAUAAGCGGAGGA